CCUGUUCGGCACACGCCCCACAGGUCGGGAUGUGAUCCCGGAGGUCGGGAUUGAACCAGGAA
rfam:Natronolimnobius innermongolicus JCM 12255 contig_75, whole genome shotgun sequence.